rnacentral:rRNA from 2 species
GGACGCAAGUCUGAUGGAGCAACGCCGCGUGAGUGAAGAAGGCUUUCGGGUCGUAAAACUCUGUUGUUGGAGAAGAAUGGUCGGCAGAGUAACUGUUGUCGGCGUGACGGUAUCCAACCAGAAAGCCACGGCUAACUACGUGCCAGCAGCCGCGGUAAUACGUAGGUGGCAAGCGUUAUCCGGAUUUAUUGGGCGUAAAGCGAGCGCAGGCGGUUUUUUAAGUCUGAUGUGAAAGCCCUCGGCUUAACCGAGGAAGCGCAUCGGAAACUGGGAAACUUGAGUGCAGAAGAGGACAGUGGAACUCCAUGUGUAGCGGUGAAAUGCGUAGAUAUAUGGAAGAACACCAGUGGCGAAGGCGGCUGUCUGGUCUGUAACUGACGCUGAGGCUCGAAAGCAUGGGUAGCGAACAGGAUUAGAUACCCUGGUAGUCCAUGCCGUAAACGAUGAAUGCUAGGUGUUGGAGGGUUUCCGCCCUUCAGUGCCGCAGCUAACGCAUUAAGCAUUCCGCCUGGGGAGUACGACCGCAAGGUUGAAACUCAAAGGAAUUGACGGGGGCCCGCACAAGCGGUGGAGCAUGUGGUUUAAUUCGAAGCAACGCGAAGAACCUUACCAGGUCUUGACAUCUUUUGAUCAC